GACGUAGGGGGCAAGCGUUGUUCGGAAUUAUUGGGCGUAAAGCGCUCGUAGGCGGGACAGGAAGUUCGUGUUGAAAGACCUCGGCUCAACUGAGGGACCGGCUCGAAUACUCUUGUUCUUGAGGCAAUCAGAGGGUGAUGGAAUUCCCGGUGUAGCGGUGAAAUGCGCAGAUAUCAGGAGGAACACCGAUGGCGAAGGCAGAUCUCUGGGCCGUAACUGACGCUGAGGAGCGAAAGCGUGGGGAGCGAACAGG
rnacentral:rRNA from 1 species